rnacentral:rRNA from 1 species
UGGGGAAUUUUCAGCAAUGGGCGAAAGCCUGACGGAGCAAUGCCGCGUGGAGGUGGAAGGCCUACGGGUCGUCAACUUCUUUUCUCGGAGAAGAAACAAUGACGGUAUCUGAGGAAUAAGCAUCGGCUAACUCUGUGCCAG